rnacentral:ncRNA from 2 species
AGCGGUCGCUAGGGGAGCUCGCAAGGGCUGAGAAAUCCCGUUUAGGGGAUGACCCUGUGAACCUGUAUGGGUAAUUCCAGCGAAGGAAAGCGGCAGAAAUUUACG